rnacentral:rRNA from 1 species
GAUGAACGCUGGCGGUGUGCCUAAUACAUGCAAGUCGAGCGAACAGACGAGGAGCUUGCUCCUCUGACGUUAGCGGCGGACGGGUGAGUAACACGUGGAUAACCUACCUAUAAGACUGGGAUAACUUCGGGAAACCGGAGCUAAUACCGGAUAACAUGUUGAACCGCAUGGUUCAACAGUGAAUGACGGUCUUGCUGUCACUUAUAGAUGGAUCCGCGCCGGAUUAGCUAGUUGGUAAGGUAACGGCUUACCAAGGCAACGAUGCGUAGCCGACCUGAGAGGGUGAUCGGCCACACUGGAACUGAGACACGGUCCAGACUCCUACGGGAGGCAGCAGUAGGGAAUAUUCCGCAAUGGGCGAAAGCCUGACGGAGCAACGCCGCGUGAGUGAAGAAGGUCUUCGGAUCGUAAAACUCUGUUAUUAGGGAAGAACAAAUGUGUAAGUAACUAUGCACGUCUUGACGGUACCUAAUCAGAAAGCCACGGCUAACUACGUG